UUCCCCCGCUUCCCAAAGCCCCAACAACAACGGCCCGCACUAUGUGGCCGUGGAAGUGGAGUGGGGUCGUGUCUUUGUCCGGACAGAUGUAGCGACAACAUCCCAAACAAAAAGCGCGUAUUUGUGCUGAGAUGAGCCCGUCUGCCUUCCGUGUGCUGGCAUUCAACUUCGCCAAACAAAAGGGCUGCACGGGAGAACAUCUUGGAUUACCUUUUUCGUCUCUUUUCAACGCAAAAAAAAAAAAAAAAAAAAAAGUCAGCAGCCGCCCGUCCCACACACUCACCACAACAAUUAAAUGCUUUGAGUUAACUAACAAAGUUUAUUUCGGUGUUGCUAUGUUAUUGGGGUCGCAAGUGGGGUAUUACUGACUUUUUUUAAAUUAAUUUUUUUAUUAAUAUUGAGCCGCGUCACUGGCUGGGGCUGCUGUCAGCACAACACUGCCUGUUCAUUCAGCAGAACACUGUCGGCCUUCUAACAACAUUAAUGAAACUAUUUUUUUUUUUUUGCGCUUUUAUUUUCAUGUCACUUUAAAAAAAAAAGGUACUCAUUUAUCUAAAUUUCGUUUCUUAAGGUAAUUGAAAGUGAACCAAAUUGAAAUUGCAUUAGUUUCUUUUUAUUAUUUUGAUUUGUCUUCUUUAACGAAAAUCCGCCCCCCCCCCAACCCCGCUCUAUCUGUGGAUUGCAGUUUGUAAAACAAAAUAGGGCCAACAUUUUAAAUACUGGACUACCAAACAAAUAUAACCCUGCUUCCGAAUGAUCUUCAUGUCUUUGUAUUUUUUAUUUGACAUCCAAAUCUGUCUCCCUCCACCAAGAAGUGGCCAAUAUGUACUUUUGCGUUGGCUCACGCAGGCAGCUUGAGUGUGCGCGCACGUACGAGCGUGUUUGUCGGUGCAGGACGAGCCACGCCUCUUUAUGCUAAUCGCAGCCUCUCAUUGGUGCGUCGGGGGAGCACGGCGGCCGCGAUUGGCCAGGUCGAGGCCAUUUAUGUGCUGACAGCCGCGUCACUUGAAUGGUUGUCUAUUAACUUGUUCCCAAACUAUCUGGACUUGUCAAGGCUCGGGCGGACGGACAGGGGAGGAAAAAGUCGAGUUUGUUUAUGCCUUUUUGGAGAAGCGACAGGCGAAGAAGUUUUUGUGGACACAACAUCGCUGGGACCUUUUGGGAGAAGGCGCACUGCAACACGCACCCGCACGCGCACGCUCACGGAGCCCGAGAGAGAGAGAGAGAGAGAGAGAGAGAGAGAGAGAGAGAGAGUGAGAGAGAGAGAGUGAGAGAGAGAGAGGGACAGAGAGAGAGAGAGGCUGUGGAAGCUCGCCCUGUUUUUCUCCAGAGAAAAAGUUGCUGAGAGAAUCGACAGUGACUGUGGACGCCCCUUCACGCCCCACCAAAGCCAAAGUUUGUUGGGAAGAUUAAUCCACCAAAAUAUCCAAGACCUUCAGGUUCUUCGGCUUCAUCCCACAUCCCAAAAACUUCCAGGAGAGAAGCAAGCGCUGCUGUAAUCAUCUUUCCUCAAAGAGUUGCUCUCUAUCCAGAGAGCCACCUACACUUCAUUAGUAAAGAAGUAGAUGAGCCUUUCAUGGAUGAUUGCAUUGAGUGAGAGGAGACUUUCAGGAGCUGGCAAAGGUGUUACAUCAGACCAGUGAGCCACCACUAGAGUGGACUACGAUGCUGACAUCACACAGAGACACAUUCGUACUACAGUAAAGCAUGUCUGUGUCGUAAGCCAAAUUCUGCUGGAGGAGCGUAGUGAAUCAAGCCUAACUGAUCUGAGCUGAAACAACUUGAACUGCUUUGAUAAUACAGGACUUUGCAUGGAUAUUUUUCUUGCUUUCUGGGUCAGAGAGUGACAUACAGUAUCUUAAAAUACAAACACAAUUUACUCUCACAUGCUUUCAAUGAAAUAUCUGUGUGUUGUUUGAAUGCUUUGAGAAUGUUCCGAAAUAGUGCCCUGCAAAUAAAAGAAGACUCGACAUUUAAUUUCACGACCUGACAAUUUCUUUCCGUAUUUGUUCACGACAUUUGUUGGUGGUGCUGACUUUUGAAGAACAAGCAAAUCAAUCACAUUUUAUCUUUUAGUUCCACUUGACAGGAAAAUCAUUUUCUACCGCUUAGCCUGUUCAGGAUCUCAGCUGACCCCAGGUGAGAGGCAGAGUACACCCUAGACUGGUCACCAGUCAAUCAUAAGGGAAUUACAAUUUACUGCCAAUACUGUACAUCCAUACAGUCUCACUUUUGUGGACAGGUUCCAAUUUCCACAGCAUAGAAGUGCAAGCUAGAUUUUGGAACAGAAAAGUAAUAAAGGUUGACGAAUUUAUUGACCACAGGUCAUAAGAAAGCAGAAUAUUAAGCAGUUUUUAAUAUUAAGUGAAGUUUAAAACUUGGAAUGUGAACAGGAAAUAUAAUCUACGCGUGCUGUUAAUUUUGUUUCUUUUGUUACAAAUCAUGAAAAAUGUAAGUGUUGUUGAUGAAAUAAAGACAUAUGUAUUGUGGACGCUCAGUAUUUGCAAAAGAUGAGGAUUGACCCAGACCCUUAAAAAGUAUAGCUAUAGCCUGUUGCUAAGCAUGCAGAUACAAUGUACGGAACUUGUACGUACAUGUCAAUAAUUCUGAUGCUGAUGAU